GAGUCUGAAGCGAGCCCGGCACAGUCACGUGGGCAGGUGCAGAGGCUCCUGGAGCGCUCCGGGGGGCAGGGGUGACGUCACAUUGGCCGGGUGGGACUGGGAAGACUCUGGAGAUGUGUUGAAGCCACCUGCCCGCUGUGGCCCGUGACCCAUCCCGCCAUCACUUCCAGCCGUCUGCUUCUGUCACCCCUCGCCCGCCUCUGACCUCUUGCCUCCAGUCCUGGAAGGGCCCUCGUGACGGCAUUUAGGAGGCACCUGGAUGGCCCGGGACGCCUCCUCCCGAGAGCCUUCAGCCAGCCACACCAGCGAGUCCUUUUUGCCAUAUCAGCGGCUGCACCGAUUUACAUUCCCACCGACAGUGCACGAGGGCUUCCUUCCCGCCACAUCCUUGCUGACACUGGCUUCUGGUCUGAGAACAGCGCCCUGAGGGGUGUGAGAGGAGCCCUCCUGGUGGCCUGGAUUUGCAUUUCCUGAUGCUGAGCGAGGAGGAGCAGCUUUUCCUGUGUCCAUUGGCCCCUGGACGUCUUCUUUGGAAAAUGUCUGCUCAGGUCCGCUGCCCAUGUUUUAACUGGAUUGUUUGUCUUGGCGCUGAGUUAUAUAAGCUCUUCAUACAUUUUGGGUAUCAACCCCUUAUCAGAUACGUGAUUUGGGAAUCUCUUCUCCCAUCCGGAGGCUGCCUUUUUGUUUCCUGCGUAGUUUCCUUUGCGGUGCAGAAGCUGGUAGUUGGUGUAGUCCUAAUCUUUUGGUUUUGCUUUUAUUUCUCUUGACUGAGAAGACAUACCUGAAAAAAUGUUGCUAAGGCUGGUGUCAAAGAAAUUCCUACGAAGGCUUUUUUUUUUUAAUGUUUAUUUUCGGGAGAGAGAACGCCCCGAGGCUCUUUUUUAAAAAUUGUUGGGUCACUUGCCCCUGACCACUUGGAAGCAGGAACACACUGGGGAAAUGUGCCCACGCGGGGGUAAGCUUCCUGAGUUCUCAUCCAUCGGAGCAGGGAGCCCGUCAAUAGUACUGAGAAUUGAAAAAUCACGGAACAGCAGCAUGAUAUUUACAAGUAGGAAGAUAACAUACACGGAUGCAAACUAGAAGAGUUGAAAGCAUUGCCCCUGGGGGCACGUGACUCAGAGAUGGGCCCGGGCCUGCUGUUUUACAUCAAAGCCUUGCACACUAUUUGUGUGGCUAAGAAGACUCAACCAGGGACGCCUGGGUGGCUCUAACCGUUAGACCUUUGACUUCAA